GCAAAAAAAAAUCAAUAGCCUAAUUUAAAAAUGGACAAAUGACUUGAAUAGACAUUUCUCCAAAGAAGGUAUACAAACGGUCAACAGGUGUAUAAAAAGAUGCUCUGCAUCACUAAUCAUCAAAGAAAUGGAAAUUGAAACCACAAUGAAAUACCACCUGACACCAGUGUGGACAGCCAUUAUUUAAAACAAAACAGGAGAAGAAAAAACAGAGGGCAAGAAAAGAAUAAAUGUUGGUGAGGAAAUGGAGGAACUGGAACCCUUGUACACUGAGAGCAGCUGCUAUGAAAAACAGUAUGGAGAUUCCUCAAAAAAUUAAAAAUAGAGCUACCGUAUGAUCCAGCAUUCCCAUGUCUGGGUAUUUAUGCAAAAGAACUGAAUGAAAUCAGAAUCUUGAAGAGAUAUUUGCCCUCCAUGUUUCUUGCAGCAUUACUCACAAUAGCUAAGAGGUAGAAACAACCUAAAGCUGAUGAACGGAUAUAGAAAAUGUGGUGUGUGCAUCCAAUGGAAUAUUAUUCAGCUUUACACCAGAAGGAAAUCCUGACACAUGCUACAACAUGGAAGAACUAGAGGACAUUAUACUAUAUGAAAUAGGCCAGUCACAGAAAGACAAAUACUAUAUGAUUCCAUGGAUAUGAGGUAUCUACUAAAGCAGUCAAACUCACAGAAGGAGAAAUUUGAAUGGUGACUACCAAGGGCUAGUGAGAGAGAGGAAUGAGGAGCUGCUGUUCGAUGAUUAUAGACUUUCAGUCAUGCAAGGUGAAAACUUUCUAGAGAUUUGCACAACAGAUAUGUGUAACAAUGGGCAAGUAGUUAACAAUACUGUACUGUUGAGAGGGUGUAUUUCGUGUAUGUUGCUGUUUUUUUAUCAUAAUAAAAAAAAGCAAGCAAACAAAGAACACCUAAUGCCUGGCUCCACUCUAACCAGUUAAAUCAGAAUUUCUGGGGGUUGGGUGUUGGGCAUCCCUUUGUUGUUUCUGAUGUCGUUGUUUUUCCUCUUUUAGCUGUGCACAUUAGAGAGCCACAUGCUAAGGAAAAAUCUCUGUAAAACAUUGUCUUCUUCCUGGCUAAAAUUUUUUUGUAUUUUUUUGUAGAUGAAGUUUCUCCAUGUUUCCCAGGCUGGUCUUGAACUCCUGAGCUCAAGCAAUCUGCCCACCUCAGCCUCCCAAAGUGAUGGGAUUACAGGAAUGAGUCACUAUCUUCUUUUUUAAAAUCUCCACCCCACGUUUCAUAUUUGCUCUCUAAUAAUAACCACAAUACUUAAAAAUACCUAUUUUGAUCAGUGGCACCGUUGUCUUUCGAGUUACCUGCCUGGAAAUGCGGGUGUUGUCCUAAACUCACUCCGACCGCCAGUCAUCAAUAGUGUUAAUUCUACGUCUUAAAGAUCUAUCCAUCCCUCCACCCCAACCACAUCUUUAGGAUGGAUUUUACCAUUUCUAACGUUGAAAUCUAGUUGUUGCUCCAUCUUUGAAAAAUUUCACCAAAUAGCCUAACUUUCAGAAUGAACUUUAAACAAAAGUUAAUGCGGCUCUUUUGCCAACUCUAUCCACUGAAAUAGAAGGAAGGAGGGUCAACUGAAAAGAGGUAAGCUUUACAUAGUACAUUUUAUAUCCCUAUCAUUCACCUUUCUUUCUGGGUACUAAUAAAAUUAGGGUUUGGGUUUUGAUUGGGCCUUGCUAUUCUAAACGUUGCAAUUGAUUUCUAUAUGGCUAUGCAUGUCCUGCCCAACUUUACAUGAUCUUACCCUUGCUGGCUGCUCAGCCUCAGCUUUGCACACAAGCAAUGCUCCAUUAUUUCCAACCUCCUCUCAUGUCCUCAGAUGGGCCUUCUCUCCCGGGCAUUUGAACAUUUGCACAGCUUGUUCAAACUCGCUAUCAUCUUCCUCCUUCCUGCCCUUUGCCAGCUCACUAAUUCCUCUCUAGACUUCAGGAUCAGCUUAUGUAUUACAUUGGCUUAAGGUUGGAAACAGGGAUGACACAGCAAUAGAUGAUAUAACAAAGAUGGCAGGCAGUGCCCAAUGACUUUUGAAGCUAUGCACCUUCAUUUCCAAAACUGCCUUCUUGAAGUCAUUCUGGCCAGCUUCAUGGCGUUUAAAGGACUCACUCAUCCCCUUGUCUUUUACAGGUUACCCAAAAAGAAAUGUUCUAGAGGAAAUGGCACAAAGCCAUAGAAUUUUAAUUGCAGUUUGGAAUUACAAAUAUUGCUGAGGUGAGGAGAAUGAAGCACAGUGAAGUGAAUACAGAACCAGGUGGCACUUCUCUUCCAUCACUGAUGCUCUGAAUCACAUCACUGCGGUGGGUGACAUUGCUAUCUACAGGAGAAGAGAUGAAAGAGAAAAGACAGGGUCUUGCUCUGCCACCCAGGCUGCAGUGCGAUGGUAUCAUCACAGCUUGCUGCAGGCUCGGCCUCCUGGGCUUAAGCGAUUCUCCCACCUCAGCCUCCCGAGUAGCUGAGACUACAGAGGAGACAGAGUUUCGCCAUUUUGCCCACACUGACCAAAAAACUCCUGGGCUCAAGCAAUUCUCCACCUCGGCCUCCCAAUGUGCUGAGAUUACAGGCAUGAGCCACCGCACGCAGCCAAGGUGUAUGAAUUUUCACCUAAACAGACAUGGAAAGAAGGACCGUCUAUGGAGCGGAAUCAGUCUUCAGACUCCAAACGACACGAGAGAGAGUGUGGAAUGGUAGGGAAAAGCUGGAUACACCGGUUGCAACCCUGCCUCUGUAUCUUACUUUCCAAGUGUCCUUGACCUUGAGAAUUGAGGACAAGGGCCUAUCCAAUAUUUGGCCUGAAGUAAAAGAAAAGAACAAUGUAUCUUGCUAAAAAUAGUAGUGACAAUGGUGGUCACCAACAAAGGACAACUUUGCCAAGCAGAACGAUAAACUAAUGAGCGUUACAAGCAGCAGAGGCCUGAGGGUCAUAUGAGAAAGACCGAACAGAGCAGAGAGGAUCUGAACCGAAGAACCAAUCUGCUAUGGUCUGGAUGUCUGUGUCCUCUGAAAAAUUCGUAUGUGGAAACCAAUGACCAAUGUGAUGGUAUGAAGAGUGAGGCCUCUGGGAAGUGGCUAGAUCCCUCAUGAAUGAGGUAGAUAUGAGCAUGUAGGAGUGAACAUGUACAGAAAAAGAAUCACUUACAGAAGAAUAAGUCAAAAUGUCACCCAUAUCACAAGGAAGUGGCCCUCUCUGAGCAGAGUCAGAAUAUGCCUCCAUCCCAUAUCGCAGCUGCUACUUGGUCAAUCAUCAAACCUGAAGGAAAGCCAGGGGAGGAAGUCUGCAAGGAAAGAAGGAUGAAAGAUUUGUCACAAGAAUCAUUUCUACUUCACAGAAAAAUCUUCAAGUGUGAGUGUGCUUGCAGAGGUUGUGAUGGUCGGAAGCCAGAGAGGAUGGAGAUGGAGAUGCAGAGGACACCCCAGAGACAGAAGAGCAGGAAGGCUCCAUCCUAUGCCCAGGAACAAUAAACUAUAAACUCGUGUCUCAUGGUCCACACUAA